CUUAAGGAAUGCAUUAGUCUUAUAUAUAAUAUAUAAGUAAAAUAAUCUACGAGAUAAUUGAGUUCCAGUGUGCGACCAUUGAAAAACAGUAAAGUGGAAGUGGAGCAGAGUUUGAUAGCAUGCGGUCAUCAUAUUAUAUUGUGAAAGUAAAAAGCUCUCCAUAUAUAGAAGAAACUUUCUUCUAUUUCAAGAAACAAUGGUUAUCUCACACAAUUCAUUAGCUUGUAAGCUAUAUAUAGUUUAGAGUUAUACUAUAUAGAAACAUUCACAGACACAGCCCAUGAUUGUGAGGGUUAUAACUCUCCUGGAG